rnacentral:rRNA from 1 species
GAUGAACGCUGGCGGCGUGCCUAACACAUGCAAGUCGAACGGACCUUCUGUUCCAACUAGCAAUAGGCGGAGCGGUAGGUUAGUGGCGAACGGGUGAGUAACGCGUGAGUGACCUGCCCCGAAGUGGGGAAUAACUAUCCGAAAGGAUAGCUAAUUCCGCAUAUGAUCCGUCAUUCGGUUGGCGGCUCAAAGGCCCGCAAGGGUCGCUUUGGGAUGGGCUCGCGUCCGAUUAGGUAGUUGGUGGGGUAAUGGCUCACCAAGCCGAUGAUCGGUAGGGGGCGUGAGAGCGUGACCCCCCACACUGGCACUGAAACACGGGCCAGACUCCUACGGGAGGCAGCAGUGAGGAAUAUUGCGCAAUGGGCGAAAGCCUGACGCAGCAACGCCGCGUGGGCGAAGAAGGCCUUCGGGUUGUAAAGCCCUUUUCUGGGGGACGAGGAAGGACGGUACCCCAGGAAUAAGCCUCGGCUAACUACGUGCCAGCAGCCGCGGUAAAACGUAGGAGGCGAGCGUUAUUCGGAUUUACUGGGCGUAAAGCGCGUGCAGGCGGCUUCGUAAGUCGGACGUUAAAUCUCCUGGCUCAACUGGGAGGGGUCGUUCGAAACUGCGGGGCUUGAGGUCGGGAGAGGGAAGUGGAAUUCCCGGUGUAGUGGUGGAAUGCGUAGAUAUCGGGAGGAACACCAGUGGCGAAGGCGGCUUCCUGGCCCGCACCUGACGCUAAGACGCGAAAGCGUGGGGAGCGAACG